GCCAUCUGUCUCAUUCCCUGUUGACCCGGCUGUCACAGCUCAGAUCUGCUCGGAGCUGUAGGCCAGGCUGCCAUGAGGGAGGUCCAGGGUGUCCUCUGAGCGGCCGUCCACCUGCCUAGACCCACCAGCUCAAGCCCCUCCGUGUGUCAGACCAGACGCAGACCUGGGACAUUGCCUUUCAAAUUCUAGACCCAAACCAGGUGACCCUGGAAACCUGACCACAACAUCAAGAAAAGACCCCAGUCGUCAAAACGAGUUCCCCUGUCCCAUCUCACCCAUCUCAUGGACAACGUCAGGACUCUAAUCAGGCGUGGGAGGCUGGCCGUGACCAGGAGCGCCUUUUCGUGGUUGCGGAGGCAGGCCCAGAGGCCAGCCUGGUCUCCCACUCUGCGGAACAGAGGCCCGGGAUUCGAACCCGCCGUUGCACCAGCAGUCUGACGGAGAGAACUCCAUUUCCCAGCAGGCUCCGCAGGCGCGCGCAUGCCCAGUGGGUCUGAUGCCCGGCCCGGAGUCGGGCAAAGGUAGCGGCUGAGGCCCCCCUGGGUUUGGGAAGUGAGUGUCCUGGGGCGCAGAGCGGCGUCUGGGUCCGGGCGCGGGCCCCGAGGUCUGAGGUCGUGAGUGUGGUGUCAGCCGGAGGACCGGGCUCUUCUCUCGGAGCUUUAGGCGCGGUUCCAUCCUCGGCUGGUCAGAGGCGCGGCCCUGAGUCCGGGGUCGCCCUUGAGCGGGGCGGGGGACGCCCUCCCGGACCUCAGCCCAGAUGGCCAGCGGGCCCGGCCCCAGGAGGCCCCGGCAGCCUGAACAGAUGGAACUGCGCGUUCUGGAGAUGGAGAGAGUGGGGACGGCUGCACAACAGUGGGUGUACUUAAUGCCACUGAAAAUGAUUAAAUCGUAGAUACUAUGUUAUGUGUGUCUUAUCCCAGGUGGCAACUAAACCCUUUGUUUUUCCUCCUCACGGGAGCUGGGACUUUAUCUUGUUCUCAGAGCCUGGCACUCAGGAGUUGCUCAAACAAUGAGUGCUGAGGAAAGAGCUGAUCUGUCCACAGCAGAUGGAGAGGAGAGACAGCCAGCGUGGGGACGCCUGAAGCCAGCACCCUCUCCCGGGCUAGGCGGAGCAGCAGCUCUCACCUGGGCUGAUUCAGCCAUCCAGGGGACUUGGCCCCGUCUGGAGAUAUUUCUAGUCAUCAGGACCAGGUGGAAGCUGGUGGUGGGGGUGCUACUGGUAUCUAGUAGGUGAAGGUAGGAAUGUGGCUGAAUGCCCAGGACGGCCCCACAACAAGGAAUCAUCUAGCCCCAGUGUCAGCCAUGCUGAGAAUGACAAACCUGGCUCCAGAGACAUCUCCUCCUGGAAGCCCUCCUGGAUUCGACACACCCACUGCUCUAGCCCACCAUAGGCUCCUGCUUCCCUUCUCCCUGUCACAACACCAGGAGAGGU